GAUGAACGCUAGCGGCAGGCCUAAUACAUGCAAGUCGGACGGGAUUGGGAGCUUGCUCCCAUGAGAGUGGCGCACGGGUGCGUAACACGUAUGUAACCUACCUUUAUCUGGGGAUAGCCUCUCGAAAGAGAGAUUAACACCGCAUAAAAUCACAGCACGGCAUUGUGCAAUGAUCAAAUAUUUAUAGGAUAAAGAUGGGCAUGCGGGACAUUAGCUAGUUGGCGGGUAACGGCCACAAGGCUACGAUGUCUAGGGGAUCUGAGAGGA
rnacentral:rRNA from 1 species